ensembl:lncRNA
CAUUUACAAGGCUUCCUGCUGUGCCUCCCGUCCAGCUGCCCUGCCUGUCUCUGUGUGCGACUCUUCAGCUUUAUUUUGCAGGAAGGAAUUGGGAAAAUAAAAAAAAUCCACUAACAAGCUUUGAGAUGGUUUACCUCAUAAAAUCCCACUUGGGAUAUCAUGGUUUUUGAGGAAAAGAGGGAGCUUCACAUAAUGGGAUUAAGGAAAUUCCCAUCUGCUUAGAGCCUCCUUUUCUCUGCCUCUUGUUGAUGGGGAAAAGAGUUUAAUCACUGUAAUUGCAUUGUAGGAUGAUGACUAUUGGCUCAGUGUGCAAGGCUAGCUUUAUUGCCUUUUGGCUACAAGGGGCUGAACUGUAUGGAGGAAGCCAGUGGCACCCAGGAGUUUUUACCAUGACCAAUCUCUCACCAAGACAGAGGAUAUUUAUUGUGAUCCUUAGCUGCACUUUGGAUCUGCAGGACAGGAUCAUUCACCCUCAAACCUAUUUUAUUAGUGGAACAAGGUGGAGAUACUGCAAUCCAUGUUGUUUCUGAGAUUAUUAUGAUACGUUUCUGAGAGUUAGACAUCUUUACCUUUUUUCCUCCCCACCUUCAAGUUUAUCAGCCAUCACAGCUUUGUUUCCAUGAAAUAUUUAGAAGGCUAUUAAAGGAGUGCAAUUACACUGUUUUCAGACUGAGAACUAAUGAUUGCUAUGCCAUUACUGGGCAUGCCUGGAGAAGAGAAGGCUAUGGGUUGACUUCAUUGCAGCCUUCCAGUACCUAAAAGGAGCCUAUAAGCAGGAAGGGAGUCAACUCUUUACAAGGGUAGAUAAUGGCAGGACAAGGGGAAAUGGUUUUAAAUUGAAGGAGGGAAGAUUUAGGUUGGAUAUCAGGGGAAAGUUCUUUACCAAGAGAGUGAUGAGGUGCUGGAACAGGCUGGCCAGAGAGGCUGUGAAUGCCCCGUCCCUAGAAAUGUUCAAGGCCAGGUUGGAUGGGGCCCUGGGCAGCCUGGUUUAGUAUUAGACAUGGAGGUUGGUGGCCCUACAUGUGGCACAGGGGUUGGAGCUUGAUGGUCCUUGAGGUCCCUUCCAACCCAGGCCAUUCUAUGAUUCAACAUAAGAAUUCUGCAGAUGUACUUUUAACAUGAUUUUUUUUUAGUAUCUUGCGCAAGCUCAGUUUAAAAAAAAUCCUAUCCAUAGUCGUUUCUAAAAUAGAACUUGCCAGAGAGAAAUCAUAGAUUUGUACAAUCAUGAAGGUUGGAAAAGACCACUAAGAUGAUCUAGUCCAACCCACUGCCAAAUGCUGUUAUAUUUUUAAGAACAGAUCAGUACUUAAUUAUCAUUUAAGCACAUUUGCUGUUCAAAAGUAUCAUUGAAGUUUUCUGAGAAACUAAAGACAUUCUGUGCUGCAAGGAGCUUCUGAAAGGUUACACCAAAAGGAAAGGACUCAGCGUUCAUUAGCACACCUUAUUCCAGCCUGAGGCAAGCACAUAGCAGUCUGUGCACUUAGAUUUCCUACUUUCUGUUUUACUCUCCAAAAUCUUUCAGUUUUUUAUUUCCCUAGCAGACAUGUUUGGGCAGUCCCAUCUAAAUGGCAGUCUGUUCUCAGAGAGAUGGUAACCCCACGCCCCCAGACCCACAUGUGCCCUUGCCAGAGCAUCCCGCUCUGCUUUGAAGCACCUCCGCCAUGGAGACCUCCACACCCACUCAGCAUUCCUUCACUUAUGUACCUAUGUGUACAAAGAAAUCAGAAGUGUUAGCAUGCAUUUCAUUUUUAGUUCUUAAUUCAACUGAUGAAGAGCUUAAAGCAAAACAGUGCUUUUCUUGAGGAUGCCAGAAUUUUUCAAGUUGAACUUCUUGAAAUCUGGAUAAAUUUAUCUUCCACUUCACACAUUUUUAAUGGAAACUUUCAUCUUCUCAAAAGAAGCAUAAAAAUGCUCACAGAAACUAUUUUCAAUAGAGUGAGGUACUUUCCUCUAAAUAAGAAUUUUCAAUUUUUCCUAAAGAGUCAAAAACGCUUCCCUCAGCAAGGCCAAAGAAGCUGAAAUUAAUGCUCCUUGAUUUUGCCACAAGCCUUGUAAGAAGCCUCAGGGAUUUGUAUUAGGAGCUCUGGCACCUCAGCCGCAUCAUUUUUACGUAAAUGAAGCUCUUGUUAAAUGUUAAGCAAAGUUAAAUCAUACUCUGCAGAGACUGCUAAGCAGCUUGACUAAAAUUGCUCUUUCCUCUUGAUCACUUGAUUUUCUUAUGAAUUCACCACCUCUCUACCUCUCUCGUUGCCAUAGAGCUUGCACAGCUUAUUGAAAUGAGACAAAAAUUCCCAAGUAAAACAAAAAAUGCAGUGAAGUAGAAAAGUAACAUGGGCAGAAAAGGCACUAAGAGGCCUUCACCAGCACACCUGCUUGAGGGGCCGCAGAACUCCAAAGUUCAUCAAUACUAUGUGAAUCACUGCUGGAGACUGACAUUAGAAAUCCAUCUUCAUGCUGGCCUGGUUCCUCAUCUCCUACAUCACUAAAUUACAACUUAAAUCCAAAUAUCUCCCAAAUGUUUUGAUACAAGACCUAAAAAACCCCCAUUUCUCAGCUCCCUGAAGACUUCAUAGACCAUAUGCUUCUCAAAGGAGAAGUUAUGCUGUUUCACUUCUUUCUAAUGACUGUUGGCCAAUGGGAAAAUGUAUAACUGAACAACUUAGGUUAUGUCCGCUUGGAGAAGUUGAAGAUUUCGUUAGAUGCUGGACAACAAUAUUCACAUCCAAAGCACUCAAUUUCCAUGCUGCAUCAGGCUUAGUCUCAGUCUCCCCAGAACACAGUGAAAAGACGUGACAGUAGCUUUCUGUGUAGAAAUAUAUUUGGCAAAUAUAUAAACCCUGCAGAGCAUCCCUUGAGAGGCUAAAGGAAUUUAAACUUAAGUCCCAUGCAGAUCUCCUCUAAGGUGUUAUUUUCCCCCCUAAAUACCAUGUUGAAAUUCUACUUUUACCAAGUUUAAAACUGGAAGCUACAUUAUGUUUGCAGAACUGGAAAUCUCAGUGAAUAAAUAAAUCUUGAGAAGCACAGCUACAGGGAAACAGGCACAGACCUUGCACCAUUCACAGCUUUAAAAAAAGUGUUGGAGCUUAGUAAAGCCAGCAUCACACACACAGCAAAUUAGAAGGAGGGCACGCUCUCCUCAUGAACUUGGGGAAAACCCACACAUUUCAAAAGCACAUAAUUCAGCUGUAAAAUGUUAACAACUGUUUUCCAGACUUCGCUUUGGUAUACAAAAUUCAGCCCAGAAACUCUUCCAUUUCACAAAGUAUGGUUCAAAUUAAGGGGAAAAAACAACCCUUUACAUAUCUUUGCAGUGUUUUUUUUUUUUUCCACAACACCAGAGUUCUGUCAAAGUGGGAAUCUUCAUAAAAACAACUAUUCAUAUUCUAUGGUUUAUUUAUGCAAAUUGGAUGGGCAAUGUUAAUUAAAUGAACACUUAGAUCUGUGUAGACCUUUUUACCAGUAGGUUUCAAGAAGAUAAAGUAUGAGAACCUUACUUUGGAACCAAAGAAAUGAAGAUCUGGAUAGGUUGGAUAGCUGGGCUGAAGCCAAUGGGAUGGGAUUCAACAAGACCAAAUGCCGGGUCCUGCACUUUGUCCACAAUAACCCCAGGCAAUGCUACAGGCUUGGGGCAGAGUGGCUGGAAGACUGUGUAGAGGAAAUGGACCUGGGGGUGUUGAUUGACACUAGACUGAACAUGAGCCAGCAGUGUGCCCAGGUGGCCAAGAAGGCCAAUGGCAUCCUGGCUUGUAUCAGAAAUAGUGUGGCCAGCAGGAACAGGGAAGUAAUUAUCCCCCUGUACUCAGCACUGGUGAAGCCACACCUUGAGUACUGUGUCCAGUUUUGGGCCCCUCACUGUAAGAAAGACAUCGAGGCCCUGGAGCGUGUCCAGAGGAGGGCAACAAAGCUGGUGAGGGGUCUGGAGCACAGGCCUUAUGAAGAGCGGCUGAAGGAGCUGGGAUUGUUCAGUUUAGAGAAGAGGAGGCUCAGAGGAGACCUUAUUGCUCUCUAUAACUACCUGAAGGGAGUUUGUAGUGAGCUGGGGGUCGGCCUCUUCUCUCAGGUGACUAGUGAUAGGACUAGAGGGAAUGGCUUCAAGCUGCACCAGGGAAGAUUCAGGCUGGACGUUAGGAAAUACUACUUCUCUGAAAGGGUGGUCAGGCACUGGAAUGGGCUGCCCAGAGAGGUGGUGGAGUCACUGAACCUGGUGGUGUUCAAAGAGCGUUUGGAUGUUGUGUUGAGGGACAUGGUUUAGCGAGAACCAUUGGUGAUGGGCGAAUGGUUGGACUGGAUGAUCCUGUGGGUCUUUUCCAACCUUAGCGAUUCUAUGAUUCUAUAAGAAACAUUGUAAGUGACGUAUGAGCUGAUCUACCAGACUAGGAACCAAGCCAGGAGAAAGGCAAACGAAGGGAUGGAUGCAUGCAAUAAAAGCCUUCAAAUGAUGCCAGGCUGGAUUUUUUUCCUGUGACAGACAAUUAUUGUACAGUUAUGGUCUUCUAAUUAACCAGUUAAAGUACAGUUUCUGCAAUUGUCCUACAUAUGUAGGUACCUGGAUAUUAAGCCUAUAGUUUCAUGAAGUACAGAAAUUCAGUUCCCUCUGAUCCCCCUGAGAAGAAAACAGAGAACAAAACCAACCACCAUUUACCUUCCCCUGAACACCUCUGCUGGUAACAGCUUUGUAAAAUAUUCCUGUGCAAUAUCUACUGAGCAUUAGCAUUGUGCACUUCAUACAGUGAUGCAUCACUGUCCUUUGCUGCAAUUUUAGUUAAUUACCCCAUGAAAAACUUAAAAGAUUUAAGCUCAUAAAAAGUAGUAAAUAAUACAUAUCAGUAGUUUGAUUUCUUGCUACAACACAAAGUUGGAAGUUCAGCCUUCAGUAACCUCUGAGCUAUUUCUUAUCCCCACAGCUUCUGUGACAGUACUACAGGAACGUCUAUCUGUACACAGCAUACAAUAUUACCCUUUAUGAAGGCAGCACUGGAACGGAGAUAUAUAAUUAAUUACAUUCAAUUUAGCACCAUGGAUUUAAGGAUUUGCCUUCCAUUAGCAAACAGAGGAGGGAAACUUAGAAAGUAGAUAACAUCUAUUAUAGACAGAUCAUAUAAAUGACUAUUUCACACUUAUUUAAUCCUUCAAAAGCACUAUCAGAGAAAAUAGUUGUUUCUUAUAAGCAGAUGUACUGUUUGAAGGCACUCAGAGCAAUAUUCAGAUGCUGCUGUAUGGAGUGUGUGUUAAGGAAAGCCCAAAGCAGUUGGGACAGUCUGCUGUAAGCUGGCAGGGUGAGGGCAGAGGCUGCAGACAGUGCAUGGAUGGAUGUGUGCAUGGCUGGGGAUAGAUGCAUGGCCACACUGCCAAAGAGACCUGCCUAGCUCUUGGGCUGGGUGUAGAGGCAGACAACCCUGAUCUUCAGCACAAUGGGCAUGCAGCAAGACUAAACAGAAAAGAAGAUACUGGGAGAAAAGUGAUGGCUUGAGACUUUUUCUGAAAAAAAAAAAAAUCAGAAGAACCCCAACUCCGCUACAACCAAAAAUCCAAUAAUCCAAAACACUUCAUCUGUGAAAAGAAUUCAAAUUCAAUUAUUGACUGCACAACAAAUUACUGCAUCUCAGUCAGAGGCCGUACGUGGAAGCUGAAACACUGAGAACACAGCUAGAACGUAUUCCAAACGCAGCCUUCACCCAGGACUCUCUGAAGCACAGUCGACAUCAGAGACAGCAGAGCAGGAAAUAUGUUCUCAGAUGGAAAGGUCUGCUACAUUCCUCCAAGAAUUGCCCUCUAGAGCUGGAGCCUCUUUGUCUAACAGGUACAGCUGAGGCAGGUCCCUGUGCUUUGAAACACUGCUGUUAGAGAAGAAUCGAGGUAUGGCUUUUGGUUCAAGACUGAAUGGUUGGUACUGACAAACUCUGGAGUAGGCAGCAGGAUUCUGCUUUCACGUAUACAUUUGUUUCACAGCCUGAAGCUGGAAAAGCUUUAAUUUAAAUCUUACUGAUAAAAUAGAAAAAAAAAGCUAUUGAUCUUAAUAAUUUUUUUAGCAUGCAUGGUAUUUUUAUUAAUGAUUAAUAACCUUACUAUACUAUCACAAUAUAUCUGUAUAGGUAUUUUUCUUGUUAAAGUAUACAAUUUAGGUGUAAAACAUUUCAUUUAAUUCAUCUCCAACACUACUAACCUUUUCUUACUUAAAUCUGUAAUGCAAAUCUAUAAAAAUCACCAUCAGCUAUAACAGAUGAGUCCAUUGAAAGGCAGUGGCCCUAGGGAUGGCUCUGACCUCCUGAUCUUUCCAUCGCCACUGCUCACACAGCCAGGACUCCUUUGUCCAGAUCAAACCUUUCAUUAGCUGGCACUGAUGAUCAGAGCACUCUGAUCUCUCCCACAUCUCUCUGGACAUGGCUUUUAUGUUCUGCUGCGCCUUCAUGAGACUAAACAACAAUCAGCAUUUGACUCUAAAACUCUUCUCAUGGCCAUCUUACAGUUCAGACACGGUCCCCCCAGGAACCUGUAGCAUGGGGGUCAUAGAAAUCUCAUCCUGUUCCCCCUAGAUACAUUCACAUAUGUCCACAUCAGGUAGAAUACAUGUAGCAAAACCAAACUGGGCAUGCACAAUCACCUGUAGUUUCUUCAGGCAAGGCCACCUCAGAGAUGCAAGAAUAACAGCCUAGGAAAAGUUUUAGAGACCUUUUUCCUGCCAACAUACACAAACCUAGUUACUUUGUUCCAAGGGGCCAGCUUCAUCAUGUACCAUACUGGUAGUUAAUUCGGCCUAAAUGCUUGCCAGUUUUUAAUACAGCUUCCCUAAAGUUGCUAUUAAUCUGGGGUGAAUAUAAAGUGCACUGCUUUCUCCCAGCUUGUUUCAUCCUCUGAUUACAUUCACAUAUUCUACGCAGCACAGCUGUGAACACUUCAGGAGCAGCCAUCCUGAAGAUGGAGAUUGACCAUCCAGUACAACCCACCCCAUCCCAACACUCUGAUUUUCUUUCUGUAGGGUUUCACCAUCGAUUGUAGCCUUCCCAAAUCUUAUCUAACACUAUCUCAUCUAGUCUGUGUUCCAAAAUUUGAUUUAUGCACCUGUAUUCAUUCAUUUUUCACUUGGCUUUGCUGUAAUGUCUAACAGCAGAGAUAGCAUUUGUACUUCUGAUAGCUCAAAAGUUUACACAUCAUUUGAAAGCCAUGCAUUUGCAGAUAGAUAAAAAUAGUCUUAGUGUUUUAAUUAAGUGUUUGCAGUGCAACAGUCAGCGUUGGCAAUGGCAACAGUCAGUUACAGCUAAUGAUACCUUUUGAUAAAGGCAUCAAAUUGUUUUACCCCCAAACCAACCUGUACUACUUUGAGUAAUUUUUGCUGGCACCUCUGGCUUAUGUGCUGCUGAUGGUCAGUUUUUAUUCUACCGAUGUGUACUGUUAUGGUAAUUGGAGGCUAUUUUAGACUAUUUGUGUUUACCCUUAUUGCUAGUUAAUCCCCCCAGAAUUGUGAAGCAUCACUCACAGAUUUUCCAUGUUAGCUGUUAUUUUGCCACUUCUGCACAGAAACUUGCUUGAAACCACCUCAAAUCACAGAUUUGUUGGCUAAGUUCCUAUUACCCUCAGCAGCUCUGUAUUAGGACCUACGUGGCUCAAUUAAUCAGGUGGCUAACACCAAGCAAGUCUAAAGACAAGGAUGAAUGGAAAGCAUCCUGGGGGACAGCUGUGCAGGAAAAUUAAAGUCAAAAAGGAAAGUUGCAGUAGAGACCACAGUAGGACAGAGGAGGAGCUCCUGGCUGUGAGCUGUCUGCAGCUCCAGGAGCCCUGGCUUUUGGCACUUUGUGAAGAAUUGCAGCUGCUGAUGCUGUCAAUAGUCCAGAAAAAGUAGCAGCUGCAAGGGAAGGAAGGAGGACUGCUUGGGACUUCCUGACUGACCUCACACUUCUGUAGCCCAGAUCAUUUCUCCUUCUCCUGCCAUACUUCACCCAUAAAAACACUGAUUACUAUGAUUUCAUGCAGGUGGAGGAAAUUUCACUUUCACGGCUUCAGAGUUGUUUCAUUUUCAGAUCCUAAGGGUUUCCACAGCUUGGAGAGAUCACAGGAGUGAUAUUUUCAAGCGUGGGGCUUGGGGGCUCUCAGUAUUGGGACCUGCCUUUUUACUACUGCUGGAAAGGUCCAGAACUUGAGGGUUGAAAACUAUCAAGUGAACAUCAUACAACAAAAUACAAUUUUCACAGAAAAUGGUUUCUCUUUGUUAAAUUUCACAUCUACUCAUUGUAAAAGCAUCCCCAUAAAACAAAAAAAAAAAGUGUUCAUGUUAUUUUGUGUGAAAAGACAAAACACUUAUUAGAAAGCAUAACGCUUUUUGAUUCUUGUCUUACAGAAUAAGCUACGAAUCCUCAACAUAUAAAGUGACUAUAAAGUAAAAACUAAUUUCUCAUGUAGUUACUCUGUUCCUGAGACCUUUCUGGCUAUCUAAUAUAUUUCCAAAGGAACAUGUUGUUUUGAUAACUGAAUACUCAAUUAGAUAUUCCUCUAGCAAACCAAUUCAGAACUUCCUAUCACGAUCUUCUGUACAGCUACACAGAUAGGGCAUAUAAUUGGACAAAACUUUUCACAGCCACAAGAUUAAGUUUCUUCUUUAAUAAAUAAUUCUUUUUAUUAUUAAAACAUAUGUUAAAUGUAUAUUGUAGACAACUGUAUAGCCAUUUUGGAAGGCUUAUAGUAAGACCUUGUGAUACUAUACUGAGAUGACA